rnacentral:rRNA from 1 species
GAUGAACGCUGGCGGCGUGCCUAAUACAUGCAAGUCGAGCGAACAGAUGAGAAGCUUGCUUCUCUGAUGUUAGCGGCGGACGGGUGAGUAACACGUGGGUAACCUACCUAUAAGGCUGGGAUAACUCCGGGAAACCGGGGCUAAUACCGGAUAAUAUUUUGAACCGCAUGGUUCGAUAGUGAAAGACGGUUUCGGCUGUCACUUAUAGAUGGACCCGCGCCGUAUUAGCUAGUUGGUAAGGUAACGGCUUACCAAGGCGACGAUACGUAGCCGACCUGAGAGGGUGAUCGGCCACACUGGAACUGAGACACGGUCCAGACUCCUACGGGAGGCAGCAGUAGGGAAUCUUCCGCAAUGGGCGAAAGCCUGACGGAGCAACGCCGCGUGAGUGAUGAAGGUCUUCGGAUCGUAAAACUCUGUUGUUAGGGAAGAACAAAUUUGUUAGUAACUGAACAAGUCUUGACGGUACCUAACCAGAAAGCCACGGCUAACUACGUGCCAGCAGCCGCAGUAA